AUUGAACGCUGGCGGCACGCCUAACACAUGCAAGUCGAGCGGUAGCAUGAUCUGUAGCAAUACAGAUUGAUGACGAGCGGCGGACGGGUGAGGAACACGUAGGAACUUGCCCAAUAGAGGGGGACAACUAAGGGAAACUUUAGCUAAUACCGCAUAUUCUCGAGAGAGGAAAGCUGCCCGCAAGGGUGGCGCUGUUGGAGAGGCCUGCGUCCGAUUAGCUAGUUGGUGAGGUAAAGGCUCACCAAGGCGAUGAUCGGUAACUGGUCUUAGAGGACGACCAGUCACACUGGGACUGAGACACGGCCCAGACUCCUACGGGAGGCAGCAGUGGGGAAUCUUGGACAAUGGGGGCAACCCUGAUCCAGCGAUGCCGCGUGAGUGAAGAAGGCCUUCGGGUCGUAAAGCUCUUUAGGUUGGGAGGAAGGUUAGUAUUUUAAGAGAUAACUAAUUUGACUGUACCGACAGAAUAAGCACCGGCAAACUCUGUGCCAGCCGCCGCGGUAA
rnacentral:rRNA from 1 species